rnacentral:tRNA from 1 species
GGGCCAUUAGCUCAGUCGGUAGAGCACUUGACUUUUAAUCAAGGUGUCGGAGGUUCGAUUCCUCCAUGGCUCACCA